rnacentral:lncRNA from 1 species
GAGAAAUCUCUCUUCAAAAGUCGAAACACCUCUCAGCCGGAAAAUCCUCCGAAUCCCCAUCGAUUUUCGCUAUUUCCCCAUGAAAUCCUCUUCACUCUUCGUUCCUUCAUUCACUUCUUCAUUCCUUCAUUCACACAGACAGAACCCACCCCUCCCACCAAAGAAUUAUUAUACUCUUUCUUGUUUCUGGCAUUCGCAUCUUUGAUCUUUAUCUCGUUACGUUCUUGUGAGAGAUCAGAGAGAGAGAAAAUGACAUCAUCAUCGACGAAGGUACGCCCAUUUGACCGUGUGGAAGGAAGAACCUACAACUGCAAGAACUGUCAUCUUUACAUGACCAGUGAAGAUCAAAUAUUCGUCAACUAGCUAUUCCUUCUUCUUCUUUUUGUUCUUCUUCUUUGGAAAAAAUGGUUGAAUAUCAUUAAUGAUCAAGUUACUCUGUUCUUUGUGCUAUAAUUCAUAAUUUCUCUGUUAAUCAUUUUUUUUUGUUACAUGCGUUCCAAGCCGCUAACAAUGGACAUGCUAAUCUCUUUGACAGAGUCAUGGCAUAAGUAUAUGAGUAGCAUCCUACUUAUAUCUGAAGUACUAUUCUGA